AAUGCCUAGAAAAGUUACGACUUCGAGAGACAUGUUUGGAUUGCUUGGUUGUCAAGAGUGAGAAGUAAUAUGAAUAUAACAAAGCUAGACGGGUACGUUAUUGAAUGUUAAAAAAAUUGUUUAGAAAAAUAACCAUAGUACGUAAGCUGUAGUUCUGGAACUGAAAGUCAGUUACAUUAACCCUACGACAGUAUAUGAAAACAGAAAACCAUUGAUGAUUGGCUAAGAAGUGGAAGGAAUGGGCGAAGUAUAAAAAACGUUGUUACUCGACGAAAGCUAUAAACAACUAUAAAGUUUUCUAAUGUAAGAAAUUUAGAUAUUGAAAGAACGAAAAUGGAGUCAUAUUUCCAAAGCUAGUAUAUGUUCUUGAAUAUAGUUUUACACAUUUGUAACCUACUAAAGACCAUGGACAGUUUUAAAUGUUUACAUUAUAUUUAAAGUCAAGAAAGAGAGGCGUCGCUAGGCCCUGGCACGUGGGGCCCGUGCCCCAAUUCUAUUUCAUAGUGCCUCGAAUCCGCAGUUGGUGUCAGAAUAGAAAACCAUGAUCGAUACCAUAUUGACACGCUGAAAAUUCCCGCAUCUUUGGGCCCGAACCCCGAAUCUUUUAAACACCUAGCGACGCCACUGUCAAAAAAUAUAGGUUCUUGGUCAUAAUUUUGCAUGUUUGUAAUGUAUUAAAUACCAAGGAAUAUAAGUGUUUCAAGACAGUUUUAAAUGUUUACAUUUUAUUUAAGGUCAGGGGAAUAUAAGCUUUUAAAUGUAGUUUUACAUGUUUAUAAUGUACUAAAAACCGAGGAAUGUGGAUGUUUAAAGAUAGUUUUAAAUGUUUACAUUGUAUUUAAGGUCAAGGAAGAAGAAACUUUGCAAUGUUAAUAAUACUUCCAGAAAAUAAUGUUUUAGUAUUAAUAAUACAUUCAAGAACAGGGAAUGUAUGAAGAAGAUUAACAUUUUACUUAUUCAUAUCUUCAACACAAAAAGGGUGUAGAUACUAGAAAACAAGUUGUAGGUAUUUAUGAUACUUUCAAAACCAGAAUAUGUAGAUAGAGAAGAAUUUUUUUUAUCUUUUUUAAUCCUUCACAUAGAACUGGUGUCAAUAGUAGCUUUGAAUAUAUUCUGUGGCUUCUAGGAUAAGAAAUGUUGAAGAACGAAAUUUUUUUAUGUCCAUUAUACAUUCACAGAGAAAAUAUUUGAUAUUGAACGAAAGUGUACACAUUUAUUUUUCCUUUAAAGGCAUGAAGUGUUGUUAGAAAAAAUUGUACACACUUGUAAUACGUCCAAAGAAAAUGAAUAUUGUAGGAGAAAAACAUUUUAAAGCUCUUUCUUUUAAUAUCCUUGGUGAACAAAAGUUUCUCAUAUUAAUUAUGAUCUAACGUAUGAGAGUUUUCGUGUAAAAUACACAACAAUUAUUAAAAAAUAAAUAAAACUUCUAAUAUUCUAAACGUCCAAAAAUCGUGCAUUAAUUAUGAUCUGACGUAUGAGAGUUUUCGUGUAAAAUACACAACAAUUAUUAAAAAAUAAAUAAAACUUCUAAUAUUCUAAACGUCCAAAAAUCGUGCUUUCAGGCAUGAAACUUGAGAGCUAUAACUUAGAGUUUCAUCGGGAAUUAUUAGUUUAAAUUUUUGCAGUCAGAAAUUUUUCUUGUUUUUAGGAUAAGUAAAUGUGUUUUAAGAUUUUUUUAUCAGUAUUUUGAUAUAUCAUGUUUUACGUUCUGGUAGUCCAUAAAGGAAUAAGUGACAAAGACGAACGCUGGAAAAUUUCUUGUAUGUUAUAUUAAUACAAAAGCUUGCCAGACACUUGCUAAACCACUUGAGACGGAUAUUUAACUUGAAUUGUUCUUAAAACGAGUAAGCUCAAAUCGAAAUUAGGGUAAAAUAUUGGUCUGAUAUUCAAAUAGAAAAAUGGACAUCUGGAAGUCCUGUGAACGAACUCGUAAGGUGUUUCGGCGUACACUAAUUUCGAUAUAAUAGAGUGAGGCCUGAAAGGUACGUAGCGUAGCGUUCUCAAAAUAAGUUUAGAUAGACUAUGAACGUAAUUUCAUUUUUUUUCCAUUGUGUACACUUAAGUGGUCUUUUUAUCCAAAACUUUCUUACUGGCGAAUAAUUCAAAGUUGUAAAAACAGCUAACUUGAUACAAAUGAAACAAAACUGUAGUUUAAUAACAACCUUGUACACUUCCAAGUACCAGAACAAUUAAUCAAGAAGAAUAUAAUAUCGACACUACUGACUCUACGGUAAUGUUGGUGAUAUAUAAAGGGAACCUGCAUCCAGUUUAUAUGUAACUAAAACGUUUGUCCAAUUUGUAUUGAUAUAUAGAUAAGUGUGAUCAGUUUGUAUUGAAAUAUAGAUAAAACCUGUAUCCAGCUUGUGCUGAUAUAUAAAUAAAAUCUUUUGUCCACUUUGUACUGAUAUGUAACUAAAACGUGAAUCCAAUUUGUAUUAAUAUAUAGAUAAAACCUGUGUUCAGUUUCUAUUGAUAUAUAGCUAAAACCUGUGUCCAAUUUGUAUUGAUAUAUAGAUAAAACCUGUGUUCAGUUUCUAUUGAUAUAUAGCUAAAACCUUUGUCCAAUUUGUAUUGAUAUAUAGAUAAAACCUGUGUUCAGUUUCAGUUGAUAUAUAGCUAAAACCUAUGUUCAAUUUCUAUUGAUAUAUAGCUGAAACCUGUGUUAAAUCUGUACUUAUAAGUUACUAAAACCAUUUUGUAUUAAUAUAGGACUAAACUUGUGUCCACAUACUGGUGUCCUGUGUGUAUAGUGAUAUGUAACAUAUAUUAGUGUCCAGUCUAUACA